rnacentral:rRNA from 1 species
AGUCGAACGGCAGCACGGGUGCUUGCACCUGGUGGCGAGUGGCGAACGGGUGAGUAAUACAUCGGAACAUGUCCAGUAGUGGGGGAUAGCCCGGCGAAAGCCGGAUUAAUACCGCAUACGAUCUUUGGAUGAAAGCGGGGGAUCGCAAGACCUCGCGCUAUUGGGGUGGCCGAUGGCGGAUUAGCUAGUUGGUGGGGUAAAGGCUCACCAAGGCGACGAUCCGUAGCUGGUCUGAGAGGACGACCAGCCACACUGGGACUGAGACACGGCCCAGACUCCUACGGGAGGCAGCAGUGGGGAAUUUUGGACAAUGGGCGAAAGCCUGAUCCAGCAAUGCCGCGUGUGUGAAGAAGGCCUUCGGGUUGUAAAGCACUUUUGUCCGGAAAGAAAUCCUUUUCGAUAAUACCGGAAGGGGAUGACGGUACCGGAAGAAUAAGCACCGGCUAACUACGUGCCAGCAGCCGCGGUAAUACGUAGGGUGCGAGCGUUAAUCGGAAUUACUGGGCGUAAAGCGUGCGCAGGCGGUGAUGUAAGACCGAUGUGAAAUCCCCGGGCUUAACCUGGGAACUGCAUUGGUGACUGCAUCGCUGGAGUAUGGCAGAGGGGGGUAGAAUUCCACGUGUAGCAGUGAAAUGCGUAGAGAUGUGGAGGAAUACCGAUAGCGAAGGCAGCCCCCUGGGCCAAUACUGACGCUCAUGCACGA